rnacentral:lncRNA from 1 species
AAAAUUUUAGAGAAAAAGAAAAGCAAAGUAAAUGCUCAUGGUUGUGUGGAGUUGAAAAGAAAAAGAAAAAGAAAAAGAUAGGGACCAAGGAAAAGGAAAUUGUGUAGAGUUGAAUCUUUGGGAAUGCUCCCUUAGGAUAGGCAAUUUGGUUGAAUUCUCUUAAUCUUAUCCUUUCUUGUAACCUAAGCCACAUUACAACCUUUGAAAGACCUCUUGAUUCUCAUUUUUCACAUAAUUUGGUACU